GAAUGUGAGGCUGAUCUUACUGCACCAUCCCUACUUUGAUCUCCAGGGUUGUUUUGGCUGAUCUGGCUGGCUAGGCAAUUGUCCCUUUCCCCACUCACCAUUCCAUGUGUGUCCUUCCCAAAGCUGCACACUUGGUUGAGGAGGAUGACCUACCCCAAUAGACGAGGUUCAUUCUUCUGUCAAGGGUAAAUGAGGUGCUGCAUUCCUUCUUAGAAUUUCCAAAUGGACUCUUAAAAUUUGGGCAGGAUAUUUGAAUAAACAUUUUUCCAAAAUAAUUUCAGAUGAACAAUGAGUGU
ensembl:misc_RNA 7SK 7SK RNA